rnacentral:rRNA from 1 species
AACGAACGCUGGCGGCAUGCCUAACACAUGCAAGUCGAACGAGACCUUCGGGUCUAGUGGCGCACGGGUGCGUAACGCGUGGGAACCUGCCCUUAGGUUCGGAAUAACUCCCCGAAAGGGGUGCUAAUACCGGAUAAUGUCUUCGGACCAAAGAUUUAUCGCCUUUGGAUGGGCCCGCGUUGGAUUAGCUAGUUGGUAGGGUAAAAGCCUACCAAGGCGACGAUCCAUAGCUGGUCUGAGAGGAUGAUCAGCCACACUGGGACUGAGACACGGCCCAGACUCCUACGGGAGGCAGCAGUGGGGAAUAUGAGACAAUGGGGGAAAGCCUGAUCCAGCAAUGCCGCGUAAGUGAUGAAGGCAUUAGGGUUGUAAAGCUCUUUUACCCGGGAUGAUAAUGACAGUACCGGGAGAAUAAGCUCCGGCUAACUCCGUG